GAUGAACGCUGGCGGCGUGCCUAAUACAUGCAAGUCGAGCGAACAGACGAGGAGCUUGCUCCUCUGACGUUAGCGGCGGACGGGUGAGUAACACGUGGAUAACCUACCUAUAAGACUGGGAUAACUUCGGGAAACCGGCGCUAAUACCGGAUAAUAUAUUGAACCGCAUGGUUCAAUAGUGAAAGACGGUUUUGCUGUCACUUAUAGAUGGAUCCGCGCCGCAUUAGCUAGUUGGUAAGGUAACGGCUUACCAAGGCAACGAUGCGUAGCCGACCUGAGAGGGGGAUCGGCCACACGGGAACUGGGACACGGUCCAGACUCCUGCGGGAGGCAGCAGUAGGGAAUCUUCCGCAAUGGGCGAAAGCCUGACGGAGCAACGCCGCGUGAGUGAUGAAGGUCUUCGGAUCGUAAAACUCUGUUAUUAGGGAAGAACAAAUGUGUAAGUAACUAUGCACGUCUUGACGGUACCUAAUCAGAAAGCCACGGCUAACUACGUG
rnacentral:rRNA from 1 species